rnacentral:rRNA from 1 species
CCUACGGGUGGCAGCAGUGGGGAAUAUUGCACAAUGGGGGGAACCCUGAUGCAGCGACGCCGCGUGGGUGAGGAAGUACUUCGGUAUGUAAAGCCCUAUCAGCAGGGAAGUAAAUGACGGUACCUGUCUAUGAAGCCCUGGCCAAUUACGUGCCAGCAGCCGCGGUAAUACGUAGGGGGCAAGCGUUAUCCGGAUUUACUGGGUGUAAAGGGAGCGUAGACGGCGUGCCAAGUCUGAUGUGAAAGGCCGGGGCUCAACCCCGAGACUGCAGUGGAAACUGGCAUGCUGGAGUGCCGGAGGGGUAAGCGGAAUUCGUGGUGUAGCGGUGAAAUGCGUAGAUAUUAGGAAGAACACCGAUGGCGAAGGCAGCUUGCUGGACGGUAACUGACGUUGAGGCUCGAAAGCGUGGGGAGCAAACAGGAUUAGAUACCCCAGUAGUC